rnacentral:piRNA from 1 species
UNCCUAUGGACAAGAUCUGGUUUAGCAUGGU